AGGGUUUGAUUAUGGCUCAGGAUGAACGCUGGCGGCGUGCUUAACACAUGCAAGUCGAACGAUUAACCCUUCUUCGGAAGGUUAUAGAGUGGCGAACGGGUGAGUAACACGUGACCAACCUACCUCUUAGAUUGGGAUAACUCAAAGAAAUUUAAGCUAAUACCAAAUACUUCGUUUAGAUCGCAUGGUCUUUACGAGAAAGCUUUUGCGCUAAGAGAUGGGGUCGCGGCCCAUUAGGUAGUUGGUGGGGUAACGGCCUACCAAGCCUACGAUGGGUAGCCGGGUUGAGAGACUGAUCGGCCACAUUGGGACUGAGAUACGGCCCAG
rnacentral:rRNA from 1 species